rnacentral:rRNA from 1 species
AUUGAACGCUGGCGGCAUGCCUUACACAUGCAAGUCGAACGGUAACAGGUCUUCGGAUGCUGACGAGUGGCGAACGGGUGAGUAAUACAUCGGAACGUGCCCGAUCGUGGGGGAUAACGAGGCGAAAGCUUUGCUAAUACCGCAUACGAUCUACGGAUGAAAGCGGGGGAUCUUCGGGCCUCGCGCGGACGGAGCGGCCGAUGGCAGAUUAGGCAGUUGGUGGGAUAAAAGCUUACCAAGCCGACGAUCUGUAGCUGGUCUGAGAGGAUGAUCAGCCACACUGGGACUGAGACACGGCCCAGACUCCUACGGGAGGCAGCAGUGGGGAAUUUUGGACAAUGGGCGAAAGCCUGAUCCAGCCAUGCCGCGUGCAGGAUGAAGGCCUUCGGGUUGUAAACUGCUUUUGUACGGAACGAAAAGCCUCUUUCUAAUAAAGAGGGGUCAGGACGGUACCGUAAGAAUAAGCACCGGCUAACUACGU